GACGAACGCUGGCGGCGUGCUUAACACAUGCAAGUCGAACGGAAAGGCCCUGCUUUUGUGGGGUGCUCGAGUGGCGAACGGGUGAGUAACACGUGAGUAACCUGCCCUUGACUUUGGGAUAACUUCAGGAAACUGGGGCUAAUACCGGAUAGGAGCUCCUGCUGCAUGGUGGGGGUUGGAAAGUUUCGGCGGUUGGGGAUGGACUCGCGGCUUAUCAGCUUGUUGGUGGGGUAGUGGCUUACCAAGGCUUUGACGGGUAGCCGGCCUGAGAGGGUGACCGGCCACAUUGGGACUGAGAUACGGCCCAGACUCCUACGGGAGGCAGCAGUGGGGAAUAUUGCACAAUGGGCGGAAGCCUGAUGCAGCAACGCCGCGUGCGGGAUGACGGCCUUCGGGUUGUAAACCGCUUUCGCCUGGGACGAAGUGUGAGUGACGGUAAUGGGUAAAGAAGCACCGGCUAACUACGUG
rnacentral:rRNA from 1 species